GAUGAGUAGAUUACUGGGGGAUCGCUGAAUAUGGCCUGCGCUUAAUUGCGCGGCUAAUUCUUGAUUCUCUGCUAUCAGUUUUCUUUCUCUCAUCCUAAACACAAUGGAGUUUUUUCUCUAUGAACUACUUCCCUGGAGAGCUCGUCUCUCCAGUGGACAUAAACACAAACAACAUUUUGCAUUAUGAAAAACUAUUAAUCAAGAAAUUUAAUAUUCAAAACUUUCAACAACGGAUCUCUUGGUUCUCGCAUCGAUGAAGAACGCAGCGAAUUGCGAUAUGUAUUGUGAAUUGCAGAUUUUCGUGAAUCAUCAAAUCUUUGAACGCACAUUGCGCCCUCUGGUAUUCCAGGGGGCAUGCCUGUUUGAGCGUCAUUUCUCUCUCAAACCUUUGGGUUUGGUAGUGAGUGAUACUCGUUUUUCGGGUUAACUUGAAAGUGGCUAGCCGUUGCCUUCUGCGUGAGCAGGGCUGCGUGUCAAGUCUAUGGACUCGACUCUUGCACAUCUACGUCUUAGGUUUGCGCCAAUUCGUGGUAAGCUAGGGUCAAUGAGCUUAUAGGUGUUAUAAAGACUCGCUGGUGUUUGUCUCCUUGAGGCAUACGGCUUAACCAAAACUCUCAAAGUUUGACCUCAAAUCAGGUAGGAAUA
rnacentral:rRNA from 1 species